UGCCCCGCUUGCAUUGUCUCGGCGCAGCACACGCGCGCCGGCCUCAGUCUUGCUGAAUUGAGCGGGUGCAGCCGCGGCUACUUUGUAGCGGGGUCGGGCCCCACCAAGACUGCGGCGGCUACAGCGGAUCUUGAACCAACCGUGGGCCUGGGGAGUUUAUCUCCAGCUACUGCCGGCUGCAGCGGCCUGAGUACUAAGCGCAGGGAACUCUGGCCAUUCGACCGCUCCGCACCCAACAUUCCACUCACUCCGGCCCCUACAUUAAGGGCCCACCUCCUUAAAAAUCACCCGGCGACAACCUCUGUCGAUCAUCCAAGAAGACACUGAAUGACCUGGACACUCACAAUCCACAGCUGUUCCUGACCUGACUACUACAAGACCUCUGGACCAGUGCCCUGGCAGGAACCUCCUUCAAAGACCUGACCACACUAGUGUCUCAACUGUGGCUUAAGGGAACCUUCUACAACCUAACUCCAGACGAAAUUUAUUUCUUUACUCUCAUCCUCUACAUCAAUCUACAUCCUGAUUCGUCUUCCCCAGAUUCAAGCUACCACGAAUUUGGGGCCUUCCACCUCUCGCCGGACUGGCCUCUCCCCAUCUCUCUAACCAUAACUGUACUCUUAACCUUAGCCCUUGAAAUAAGCCUAACAGCUGUCUCCCCUCUAAACUGGUCACCCAUCCUCCGUCUCGUCGUCGGUGCCGCCUACGCUGUCAGCUACUGUAUUUUACUCCUCGGAUUCUAUUUCCUCCACAUUGUCUGACUACCAGACCCAUGACUCCCCUGUUCCUUAUCCUUGCUAUGCUCCCCAGCCUUCUGGCUAGUUCCUGUCCUUGCAAUGAAAUUCAUUCCUAUGUCCAUUCCUCAUGUUAUAACACGGCCCCUAAACCAUGCACCAUGAACAUCGGGGCGGGAAAGUCCAAAUCCCUACUCACUGUUAAAGUACAGAAGACAGGGAGUGCCGUGAACAACUGCUAUAAGCCAAAUGGAGAAGACAUAUGUUUCUAUCCCACUACCCACUGGGGGUACUCAGAUGGGGGAGGGGCACAAGAUCAACAGCGUAAAAAGAACCAAGAACAGGUUAUAAGAAAACUAAUCUCCCAAUCGCGCAACCCCUGAGCCCGAUAGACGCCCAGACCACCUUUCCCAAUUACGGCCCCUCCUAAAUCCUUCUGACAACUGACACCUUAUCCUCCUUAACUCAUUCCAAUUCUUCUAGAACACUCACUACACAUCCCAGUGCGGGAUACUCAUGUCUUCCUCCCAACCCUUGGACCUUGCAUCUUGGUCUUUCUGACCCCAGGUCUUAGCAUCUAAAAGACAGACAGAACAAGUAGCUGAUCCCCAGGUGAGACAUUCCCACAGGAAAAAAACGGUCUGUCAUGGCCCGCCUCCUGAUUGGGACUGGCAUAGCAGCAGAUCUGGGCACUGGGAUUGGGGGCAUCUCGACCUCAGCCCAUUUCUACUGCAAACUGUCCCAGGAACUUAGGAAUAUGCAACAGGUGGUGGAGUCCUUUGUUGCAGUCCAAAGGCAAAUUAACUCAUUGGUUUCUGUGGCCCUACAAAAUAGACGAGCCCUGGACCUUCUCACCAUAGAAAAGGGACGGAUCUGCCUUUUCCUGGGAGAAGACUACUGCUCUUUUGUUAACGAAACAGGCAUAGUCCAGGGUAGGGUCAGAGAACUUAGAGACAGAAUCAAAAGGCCACAAAAAAGAGUUAACAAAAGCUUUCCACUCCCAGAAGCGUGUUCCAACUGGCCCUCCCUUGGUUGCUCCCUUUCUUGGAACCACUAGUACUUAUUAUCUUACUCCUCUUAUUUGGCCCCUGUUUCUUCAAUCUCUUUCAAAGGUUUCUCCAAGACCGGAUUCGGGCCAUCUCUCAAGACCAAGUCAAAGACCAUUCUUGUUGAGAGCCUCACCUUAAUGUCGGCAAAAGGAAACCCUCGGCCCUAGAAAGAUCCUCUGUUCCAGACCCCAAAACCAUCGCCCCUAUCCAGCAGGAAGUAGCCAGAGAGAUACGGCGCCCUUUUCCCAUCCUUUUAUGACUUCAGGGUCUGUAAUGGAGUCCUCAGGCCUAGGAAAAGAAGAUAACUACCUCAAGGGCCCUUGCUGGACCACCUGACUUCAGGGAAGACAACUGAACUUUGCCCCACUCCAGUACUCCAGGCAGAUUGCAUCAGCCUGGAACUUUCCACCCUCUGCUCAACUGCAAAUGCCAUCUCAGGUUGAAAACUACAGGUACAAGCCAUUGAAGCCAGAAUGCUCUCUGAUGCUGGUAUUUUAACUGACAUACACCAACUAUAUCACUGCAGUGUACAACACCCAAGUGUGUCUAACGAGGCCAGCCAUUCUCACAUAACUUGUAGCAGCUAUGGAUCUGCACUGGCAUAGGAGUUGGGUCAGUGGGAUAAAGCUGGUGGUUUAAUUCUCCCAGCUUUAUGAAGUGGGUAGUGUAAAAUUACAGAUGGGCAAUAGUUCAGGUAGUGAAUUAAUAUUCCAUCACAUGCAUAGCCCUAAACAAGGAGCCUCAUAUGUACCUUGUUGGCUAUAUAAACUAUGGAAAGUCAUGUAUCUCUCUUGAGAUUUAGUGUCCUUGUGUAACAGCAGAAGUAUUCAAAUAGAGAUUAGGCCAUUUGGGGAGGGAGUUAGGAUUAGAGACUUACUAAGAAUAUAUGUCGAAAUUUGGCACAAGGGGGCCAUUCUUCAGCAUGUUAAAUGUUGCUGAUGAAUGUAGCACAGUGAGCUGUAAGAAGGAGUUUAAAGGACACAGUGAUGCCAGAUUGUUACAAUUCUGAAAGUAUUGGAGGUGAUGGGAAAGUUUUCAUAUGGGAAGAAAUGUCAGUGUAGCAAAAUUAACAGCCCAGUAGGAGCUAGGAAUUCUUCCUCUUGAUCAGCACUGAAUGUUCGCAAAUACCUCAUUUUCCAGAAAUCUUAAAGGUGUUCACCUAGGACUCACUCUUAAAACAUUGUUUUAGCCUCUGUAAACUUCAUUUCUUUAAUAUUCCAUAUUCUGUAAAAUCUAGCCUCCUAAUAUAGGAAAUUCAACAAAUAUGUUGUAAAAGCAUAAUUGCUAGAGGGAAAAGACGAGAGAAAUAGGAAAGGCGUGUGUAUGCACUGUGAGUGGAGGACAUAAUUGCAGAUAGAGCUGGCUGAGACUAACUACAGAAGACCUGAAAGGGCUGCAGAGGGUAACAUGGUUGUUACAGUCAACCUUUGAGUAACAUGGAUUUGAACUUCAUGGGUCCCCUUAUUCACAGGUAUUUUCAGUAGUAAAUACAUUACUACAUGGUUGAAUUUGUGGAUGCAGAGGGCCAUCUAUAAAUUAUUCAGAUUAAUUCCUUUAUUAUACAAAGGUCAACUGUACAUAUUUUGAUGAAGAGGAUUUCAGGUAGAGGGAAAGCAAGUGCCAAGGCCCUGGGGAGGGAUGUGUUUAAAGGUUUGUGGGGAAAGCAAAGUGAAGCUGCAGAGAAGUGGCCUUAAGUUUGUGUGCAGGGCUAGGGUGGAUAUUUGAGACCAUUCUAAGAUGGCAGCUUGCUUUCUGGCCUGUAAGACCUCGGAAUGCUAUCACUUAACUUACCAUGCCCCCUGCCAUCUAUAUACUUUCCCACGUUUCUGUUAAGUGCUAUCUCCCCUCCCCAGUGCUCUUAUUCUGGAUUUCUGUAACACCUUGUAAUGCCCUUAGACUUGGAAGCACACUUUGUAGUUUCUUCUGAGCUUGCCUACCUGCCCCUGCCAAUAAAACCCAUCUUGGUUUCUACCAUAUUCCUGGGGUCUGACUAAAUACCUGGCAUAAAUUCUCAAAUACUUAGCCUUAAAACCAUGGUGACUAUAGUACAAGGAGCAGUAUCAUUUAUAAUACUAUUGCUAGUUGUGUUGAAUUGUCUUAUAAAUCACAUGAAGUAAGUGGCUUACUUAGGAGUGGAGCCUAGAUUCAAAUCCCCAUCCUAAAUGAUCUCUGACCAGUUCUUCAAUUUCUUUAUCUUUGGUGGUGGUUUAGUCGCUAAGUCGAAUCUAACUCUUAAGUUGAUGAUAGUUACUGGAGUUUAUACACAGUACAUCUAACUUCCUGGUAAGUAGUAGGUACUUAGUAGUGCUAUAGGAUCAUUUUGAUAAUACUGUAUGGUCACCGUAAUUUAGAUCAAAAUGAAAACACUGAUACUUGAUAUUCAUAUGGUAGUAAGAUGCUGGCUUUAAUGUUCAUUAAAAAAAAUAGAGUACCUGCUAUGGGCCAAGACCUAUUCUGGGUAUUGUGAACAAAGCACAUCAGGGUAUGUAACUGCAACUGGUCCUUGACGGAGGCCUCCGGGGUAUAGGCCUGUAACUAGUUAGCAUUUUGGUGGAAACGGUAUUUGGUAGACUAAAGGCCUAGAUGAAAGUCUGACGGCACUAGCAAAGUUUCCAAGGGUAACCACUGGUUGCACAAGAAGCUUCACUCCACUGAGCCCUGCUGGUGGCUCUCUGUCCCUUGAGGAGUCACUUGGGCUGGACAGACAGGUGGAAACCUUGGGUCUGCCACAGAUUUCCCCCUCUCCCAGGAAGCAGCUGCAACCCGUACAGUCCUGUUCAUACAUUGGUUUUCCAAAUUUUUUUUAAAUAACCAGAAAUUUGUUCUUUAAAAUUCUACAGUCCAUGUGGUUGCAGAGCCAGACACGACUGAGUGACUAAGCAACAGCACACAGGUUGCAACAAGUAUUGAUACUGAAUAAUGGCAGCUUCAUGCUAGAGAUUGGUAAUAGAUGGGCAGACCCAAGUUUCUGAAUAAAAAACUUACUGAAUUUCAGUAUUCUUGUGGGGCUAUCACAGUCAAUAAAUAAAACAUUAUUGAAAAGAU